rnacentral:rRNA from 1 species
GAUGAACGCUGGCGGCGUGCCUAAUACAUGCAAGUCGAGCGAACAGACGAGGAUCUUGCUCCUCUGACGUUAGAGGCGGUCGGGUGAGUAACUCGUGGACAACCUACCUAUAAGACUGGGAUAACUUCGGGAUACAGGAGCUAAUACCGGAUAAUAUAUUGAACAGCAUGGUUCAAUAGUGAAAGACGGUUUUGGUGUCACUAAUAGCUGGAUCCGCACCUCAUUAGUUAGUUGGUGAGGUAAAGGCUUACCAAGGCAACGAUGCGUAGCCGACCUCAGAGGGUGAUCGGCCACCCUGGAACUGAGGCACGUUCCAGACUCCUACGCGAGGCAGCAGUAGAGAAUCUUCCGCAAUGGGCGAAAGCCUAACGGAACAACACCGCGGGAAUGAUGAAGGACUUCGGAUCGGAGAACGCUGUUAGUAGGGAAGAACAAAUGUGUAAGUAGCUGUGCACGUCUUGACGGUACCAAAACAAGAAGCCACGGCUAACUACGUG